rnacentral:rRNA from 1 species
GAUGAACGCUGGCGGCGUGCCUAAUACAUGCAAGUCGAGCGAACGGACGAGACGCUUGCUUCUCUGAUGUUAGCGGCGGACGGGUGAGUAACACGUGGAUACCCUACCUAUAAGACUGGGAUAACUUCGGGAAACCGGCGCUAAUACCGGAUAAUAUUUUGAACCGCAUGGUUCAAAAGUGAAAGACGGUCUUGCUGUCACUUCUAGAUGGAUCCGCGCUGCAUUAGCUAGUUGGUAAGGUAACGGCUUACCAAGGCAACGAUGCAUAGCCGACCUGAGAGAGGGAUAGGCCACACGGGAACGGAGACACGGUCCAGACUCCUAAGGGAGGCAGCAGUAGGGAAUCUUCCGCAAUGGGCGAAAGCCUGACGGAGCAACGCCGCGUGAGUGAUGAAGGUCUUCGGAUCGUAAAACUCUGUUAUGAGGGAAGAACAGAUGUGUAAGGAACUGUGCACAGCGUGACGGUACCUAAUCAGAAAGCCACGGCUAACUACGUG